rnacentral:rRNA from 1 species
AGAAUUUGAUCCUGGCUCAGAACAAAACGCUGGCGGCAUGCCUAACACAUGCAAGUCGAACGAACCCUUCGGGGUUAGUGGCGCACGGGUGCGUAACGCGUGGGAACCUGCCUUUUGGUUCGGAAUAACAGUGAGGAAUUACUGCUAAUACCGGAUGAUGUCUUCGGACCAAAGAUUUAUCGCCAUUAGAUGGGCCCGCGUAGGAUUAGGUAGUUGGUGGGGUAAAGGCCUACCAAGCCGACGAUCCUUAGCUGGUCUUAGAGGAUGAUCAGCCAUACUGGGACUGAGACACGGCCCAGACUCCUACGGGAGGCAGCAGUGGGGAAUAUUGGACAAUGGGCGAAAGCCUGAUCCAGCAAUGCCGCGUGAGUGAUGAAGGCCUUAGGGUUGUAAAGCUCUUUUACCCGGGAUGAUAAUGACAGUACCGGGAGAAUAAGCCCCGGCUAACUCCGUG